CAAUAGCGUAUAUUAAAGUUGUUGCAGUUAAAAAGCUCGUAGUUGGAUCUGUGGUGUGCGGUGGGCUCCGGGCACUUGUUGUCUGAGUAGCUCGCCGCUGCCAUCCUUGGGUGGAACCUGUGUGGCAUUAGGUUGUCGUGCAGGGGAUGCCCAUCGUUUACUGUGAAAAAAUUAGAGUGUUCAAAGCAGGCUUAUGCCGUUGAAUAUAUUAGCAUGGAAUAAUGAGAUAGGACUUUUCGCUAUUUUGUUGGUUUGCGCGAAGAGGUAAUGAUUAAUAGGGACAGUUGGGGGUAUUCGUAUUCCAUUGUCAGAGGUGAAAUUCUUGGAUUUUUGGAAGACGAACUACUGCGAAAGCAUUUACCAAGGAUGUUUUCAUUAA
rnacentral:rRNA from 1 species